UAAUAGAUUGGAAGUGUUACUUUGUCGUAAAGCUGUUUUAGCUAUUUACCCUCUGUUGUCUUCUUGCUGUUUUGUUGCUUUCUUUAAUCUGUACCCUUACGCCUUUCUUCAGUUUUCCUUUGGGUUUGCAUUCUUAUUGGAACUGGAUUGUUUCCUUAUUUUACACUUAAUAUCUAUUAGUGAACUUGAAAGAACCAUGUGAAGAUAUCUACAAUCUUGGAGUAUAUUUAAGGCCCCCUCAUGUUAAGUGGUGGCAUGGUGCAAUGAUGGAAAUUGUGUCAAUUAAAAGUGAAGCAAACUAGACUUAUGUCUACAUGGAAGAGUUAAUGUUACUGUUAUUGCUGCUACAAAUCGUCCUGACAAGAUUGAUCCUGCCCUUCUUAGACCAGGGUGGUUUGAUCGACUCC